rnacentral:lncRNA from 1 species
AUCGCACCAGUAAGGCUGCCUAAACAAUGACAGCACCAGUUGACAUGUCUAAUGUGGAUGGGGGUCUCACGGGGUUCCACUACAGGCAACUCAUGAUUGUGGGGAGAGGGAGAGAGAGUCUUUUCCAGGGAUGUGCCUCUUAAUAGGUUAGUUUCCAACACACACACACACACACACACACACACACACACACACACACACACACAAACAUACACACACACACACACACAUCAAGCAGACAACUCCAGACAACAGAAAAGCAGCCUUGAAUUUGAGAUGAGGUGGGGGAAGGUGUAAGAGAGUGGAGAGGGGGUGAUGAUGUAAACAUAUCAUAUGCAUAUUAAAUAAAAAAUCAAAAAGUAGAUCAUUUUGAGUUUCUUUAGAAUAAGAAAAGCAUGUUCUGGAAUGUCCUGUUUCGAUUUGAGAGGACAUCAUGCCUCCCACUCCUGAUAUGUGAAACCUGAGAGUGUUACUUGGCAGAAGAGACUGAGCAGAUAAGACUGGAGACCGUGAGAGCUGGGGUUUCCUAAGACAUCAGGGGGGAGCUCAGUGCAGUUCGAAGCAUCUUACACCAGGAAGGAAGGGAAGCAGCAGGUCCAGGACCCCAAGGAUGCCAAGCUGCUGGUUCAACGGUGGAGAGAGGAGCCGCAAGCCAGGGGAUGCAGGUGAUCCUGUGUGCUACAGAAAGCUGCCUGAUAGCUUCUCUCCAGCUGAGGAGGCCCCUUCCUAUAAUUCCUCCCAAAAUACUCUGUCCCAGCCUACCGUCACGUAUAUGGUGUGUUAGAGAAACAGUAGUUAUUCAUUAAGAGGGACCUACAGAUUGAUGAGUUGGGCUCCCAUUCCCACAAAUCACGACUCACUUCUGUGACGGAGACUAGAAGUGGGAAGCCUUUGGUUUGUAUGUUGAUUCUUACUACCCAGGGCCUGCAGUUCAAUAUGAUUUCUGUUGAGAAGGCUGUUCACGUAGUGUGCAGUCUGCGUUAUCAGUGGGCAGUGUUGGUUUUUCUCAAGAGAGAGACUAGUACCCGCAGAGAUUUAAAUUUUUCUUAUGGUGCUUAUAGGUUGUAUAUGUGAGGGGGCCAUUUUAAGAAGAAAGGUUUGCUAAACUGUGUUGCAAUAUGAGAAAUGUAAGUAGGAUUUCUGAAUUGCUGUUCACCAACAAAUACAGUUCCAUAUGGAACCAGAAGAUGGCAGAGUUGACACACAAAUGAACCGUGGAGUUGUAGAAGUUUUCUUCACUUUAAAUAGUGGUAUAGAAAAGAUAUGUUAGCUAUAAAUUGAAGCCAGCUUUUUUUUUUUCAUUUUUUUAUUACAUAUUUUCUUUAUUUACAUUUCAAAUGCUAUCCUGAAAGUUCCCUAUGAAGCCUGCUUUCUAAAGAGUGUUUGGGAAACUCUGAAAAGAAAGAGUCAUAGAAUGCAAGUAACUAGACUGCUUCCCAAGUCUUCAGUGUUACAGUCUUUCCCCAUGUUCCUUGUAGCAGUCUGCCCUGAGUUUGUUCUGUAAAGCGCAACACCGAUUUUUCUCCAGAUACAGUUAGUCCCUGCUUGGCGUAUGCGGGCUUCUGUUGAAUGUAUUCCCGAGUUGCCAUUUGAAACCAUAUGAGGAAUUUACUGAUUUAAAGUUAGCUGAGUCUCUCGAAUGCUUGUAAGUAUGGCAAACUUUGAAGAUGAUUUCUGGAAGUGGUGAUCACAAAGUCUGGGUUUGACCUGUGCUUCCUGGGUCUCUAGUAACUUCCACAGCAGAAGUCCAGAGAAUGGUGAUGUCAUUGUCCUCGGUUGUGUCUUAGUGUGAUGCGGAAGAUCACCAACUCACUUUCAUACAUUAUGGUUUAGAGGGGUUUUUUUUGUUUUUUAGUUUUAUGUUUUAUUUAAUAGAUGGUUGGGUUGCCCCCUGCAACAGUAACAGUAAGCUAACAUUCAGAGAGGUUUUUAUUUCAAAGAAAGAAAUUUCAACAACUCUUGGUAACCUCAUUAGUAUUUAGCCACAAUUUAGACUUAAGUUUUAUAUUUCUGGUAUUAAUUCUAGUGAGUCCAACAUUCUGUUUCUCUUUUAAGGUUGAAAAAACAAUGGGGGCACAUUUGUCUUUGUCUCUUUCUCUCUGUCUCUCUGUUUCUUUCUAUGUCUCUGUCUCUCCCCCCUCCUCUCUCUCUUUCUCUCUCUCUCUCUCUCUCUCUCUCUCUCUCACACACACACACACACACACACACCUCUACCUCUAUAUCUCUGCCCUUCUCUCUGUCUCCUCUCCUGUAGGCUAUAUUAUCCUAUCUUAAUCUUCCUGUCUCUAUUCCUGAGGUUUAGGGUUGCGUGUAUGGACUAUCAUGCUUAGCUCCAUACAUAUUUCCUUUCUGGGAAACUACCAUUAUCUUUAGAAAGAACACUAACAGGUGAAGCAUUCUCAGGUCUAAUGAAAUGUCACCAUCUCAUGUCCUGGGUUCAUCCCAUGUAUAUGAGGAGAUAGCAUGCCACAGAGCGCGUGCCAGGGGACCUGGGGACUGCAUUAUUUGCAUUUCCUGUCACAGAUCUGUAGCACUCAGCCAUGCUUUGUUCUUGUGCAGUGGAAUGCUCUGUUGUCCAUUACAUUGUAAUUGAAGAAAGAUCAAAAAACCAAAUGGGAGGCAUGGAGGGGCAGAUGGAGAUAGAUGAGGCAUUUCUUUGUAGACUGCCUUGGGCCCGAAUUGCCAUGCCACAGAAGUCAGACGCCAUGCUGGGGCCUUUGUACCAGGCAAUGGCCAGGAUGGUUUUUCAUCGGAGACCCUUUUCCAAGUUUUUCUUUUGUUUCUGUAUUUUUAAGAAAUAAAAAUGUAAUCUAAGAGCACAAAGGGUUCUGAAGCAUGCAGUUCCAUAAAUAUUGAUGCUGAGCCUCAGAAGUGGUCAGUUCCUUCUUCCCCGAUAUUGGGGUUACGUUUCGUUGUUGACCUCCUGAAUUGGAAAGCACACGGUAUUACUGUGCCCUUUUCUUUCUCUUCUCUUUCAUUUCUUUCUGUGUUUUCAUUCUUUGGUUAGUUGUAGACAUUGGGAGCUUGUCUUUAGGUUCCUGUUGAUGUGGACUUCAUUUUGCAUCUCUGAUUUCAGGGGGUUUCUCAAAGUUCACACUCUUACCUGAAGAAGCAAUUUUGUACGCAGUUUCAAGCCUCUAAGAAGCUGUCUGAACUGCUCUGUUGUAGAUCAUUGCUAACUUAAAAAGAGACAAUCUUGUCAAACCUAGCAUUAAUCUCAUAUCUGUAAGUGUAUUUUAAUUGGCCUGCUUUUUAUUUCUCCCUUACAUGGAGUCUUUGGUCUACAGAACUUGUUCAUUGUAAUUGCAAAUAAUUUAGAAAAUAUGGAUAAGCAGGAAAAAGUUACCUGUAAUCCUAUUGCAUUUUUCCUUAUUCUUCAUAUGAAAAAAGAUAAUUGAAAAAUAAUGUUAGAUCAGUAAAGAUAUUUCUGUGGAAAUGUAUAACUUUUUGGUGUUUUUCUUCCUUCUUGGUAGUUUGAUUUUUUUCUACAAAAAUAUAGAGUUUUCUUUUUCUUCAGCUGGUUAGUGAGAUUGAUAUAUAUUUUCUCACUCUCAAGGUGCUUAUGGUCAGUAGAAAAAAAUUUUUUUAAAUUAUGUUACUAAGUAGGACUCGGGAGUUGGCUUAGUGGAUAAGCUUGCUCAGUAUGAAAGCAAGAGGAUCUGAGUUCAAAUCCCCAGCACCCAUGUAAAGCCAGACAUGGCUGUAUGCAUCUGUAACCCCAUUAUUGGGAGACAGUGAUGAAAACAACCCUGGGCUCACAGGCCAGCCCACCUAGCUGAAAUGGCCCCCUUCAGGCUCUGUGGGAGAGGAGACCCUGUCUCAAAGCGUAAAAGUAACAAGCAUUUGAGGAGCGUACCACAUACUGACUUCAGAACUCAGCAUGUUCAUGCACACACACACACACACAGAGUGAAUAAGUCAGGUAAGAGUUUAUGUGGGAAUUAAGAAUAAUGAAGGACUUUUUGUAACAGAGAAGGUAUAAUAAUGGGAAAGU